AAGCCUCCCACAUGAUUAAACUUCAUGAGGAUGUAAAAAUGGAAGAAAAAUAAAAAAAAACAUCUGAAAAAAUUGACGAAACAAAGGAUGGGUGGAAAAAAUCAAAGGUAAGAUCUUUUCCCUUAUAGAUUCAUCAUCCUCAUUUCACGAUCUCUUUCUUUGUCUCUCUCUCUCCCCGAACCCUAGCCCCCCCAUCGAUGAUGCCACCCCACUGCCACUCCC
rnacentral:lncRNA from 1 species